GACGAACGCUGGCGGCGUGCUUAACACAUGCAAGUCGAGCGAGGCCCCUCCUUCGGGAGGGUGUCCUAGCGGCGAACGGGUGAGUAACACGUGGGCAACCUGCCCUCAGCUCUGGGAUAACUCCGGGAAACCGGGGCUAAUACCGGAUACGACCUCCACGGGCAUCUGCGGAGGUGGAAAGUUUUUCGGCUGAGGAUGGGCCCGCGGCCUAUCAGCUAGUUGGUGGGGUAGUGGCCCACCAAGGCGACGACGGGUAGCCGGCCUGAGAGGGCGACCGGCCACACUGGGACUGAGACACGGCCCAGACUCCUACGGGAGGCAGCAGUGGGGAUUAUUGCGCAAUGGGCGAAAGCCUGACGCAGCGACGCCGCGUGAGGGACGAAGGCCUUCGGGUUGUAAACCUCUUUCAGCAGGGACGAAGCGAAAGUGACGGUACCUGCAGAAGAAGCACCGGCCAACUACGUG
rnacentral:rRNA from 1 species